rnacentral:rRNA from 1 species
GUAGGUGGCAAGCGUUGUCCGGAAUUAUUGGGCGUAAAGCGCGCGCAGGCGGUCCUUUAAGUCUGAUGUGAAAGCCCACGGCUCAACCGUGGAGGGUCAUUGGAAACUGGGGGACUUGAGUACAGAAGAGGAAAGCGGAAUUCCAAGUGUAGCGGUGAAAUGCGUAGAGAUUUGGAGGAACACCAGUGGCGAAGGCGGCUUUCUGGUCUGUAACUGACGCUGAGGCGCGAAAGCGUGGGGAGCAAACAGGAUUAGAUACCCUGGUAGUCCACGCCGUAAACGAUGAGUGCUAAGUGUUAGGGGGUUUCCCGCCCCCUUAGUACUGCAGCUAACGCAUUAAGCACUCCGCCUGGGGGAGUACGGCCGCAAGGCUG